AAGAUACUCCCUCCGUCCCAAAAUUCUUGUCUUAGAUUUGUCCAAAUACGGAUGUAUCAAGUCAUGUUUUAGUAUUAGGUACAGCCGGAUCUAGACAAAUGUAAGACAAGAAUUUUGGGACAGAGGGAGUACUUG
rfam:Triticum aestivum genome assembly, contig: Triticum_aestivum_CS42_TGACv1_scaffold_499887_6BL